UACGGAGGAUGCAAGCGUUAUCCGGAAUGAUUGGGCGUAAAGAGUUCGCAGGCGGCCAUGUAAGUCUGCUGUGAAAGCGUCUGGCUCAACCUGAUAAAGGCAGUGGAAACUACAUAGCUAGAGUAAGGUAGGGGUAGAGGGAAUUCCUGGUGUAGCGGUGAAAUGCGUAGAGAUCAGGAAGAACACCGGUGGCGAAAGCGCGCUGCUGGACCUUAACUGACACUGAGGGACGAAAGCUAGGGGAGCGAAUGGG
rnacentral:rRNA from 1 species